CCCUUAGACGUUCUGGGCCGCACGCGCGCUACACUGACGGAGCCAGCGAGUAUAAACCUUGGCCGAGAGGUCUGGGAAAUCUUGUGAAACUCCGUCGUGCUGGGGAUAGAGCAUUGUAAUUAUUGCUCUUCAACGAGGAAUUCCUAGUAAGCGCAAGUCAUCAGCUUGCGUUGAUUACGUCCCUGCCCUUUGUACACACCGCCCGUCGCUACUACCGAUUGAAUGGCUUAGUGAGGCUUCCGGAUUGGUUUAGAGAAGGGGGCAACUCCAGCUUGGAACCGAGAAGCUAGUCAAACUUGGUCAUUUAGAGGAAGUAAAAGUCGUAACA
rnacentral:rRNA from 1 species